CUGCGAGUGAAGCGGCAAAAGCUCAAAUUUGAAAUCUGGCGCCCUUCGGGCGUCCGAGUUGUAAUUUGGAGGAGCGUCUUCGGGAGCGGCACCGUCCUAAGUUCCGUGGAACCGGACGUCACAGAGGGUGAGAAUCCCGUGCCUGGGCGGCCGUCCGUUCCCAUAUGCGAAGUGCUUCCGACGAGUCGAGUUGUUUGGGAAUGCAGCUCAAAAUGGGUGGUAAAUUUCAUCUAAAGCUAAAUAUUGGCGAGAGACCGAUAGCGCACAAGUAGAGUGAUCGAAAGAUGAAAAGCACUUUGAAAAGAGAGUUAAAAAGUACGUGAAAUUGUUGAAAGGGAAGCGCUUGAGAUCAAACUCGGUCGUUGGUGAAGCUGCGAGCUCGCUCGAAGCCGCUCGCCUUUGACCGGGCCAGCAUCGGUUUCGGCGGCGGGAGAAACGGCGGGGGAAUGUGGCUCCUUUCGGGGAGUGUUAUAGCCCCCGCAAAAUACCGCCAGCCGGGACCGAGGACCGCGCUUCGGCUAGGAUGCUGGCGUAAUGGUCUUAAGCGACCCG
rnacentral:rRNA from 1 species